CGCUCUGCUGCAUGUGGGAUCUUCCCGGACCGGGGCACGAACCCGUGUCCCCUGCAUUGGCAGGCGGACUCUCAACCACUGCGCCACCAGGGCAGCCCCUCCCUACUCUUUUAUCCCCUUCCCCUAUAACUGCUUCAUUUUUCAGCUUUACCUUUUACCCCAAUAUAUAUUUAUUUGCAUUUGUGUUUCUUGUUUCUCUUUCCACUAGGGCAUCAGCCCCAUGAGUGCAGUAUUAUGGAUUUAAUUGAAUCUCCCCCUGCCAAAAACGUCUUUGUAUGUUGAAUUCCUAACCCCUAGUACCUCAUGAUGUGACCGUAUUUGGAGACAGGCUCUUUACAGAGAUAAUCAAGUUAAAAUGAGGUCAUUGUGGUGGGCCCUGAUCCAAUAUGAUUGGUGUCCUUAUUAAAAGGGGAAAUUUGGAGACAGGCACAUACACAGGGAGCAUGCCAUGUGAGGAUGGGGAUUAUGCUGCUCUGAGCCCAGGAACCACCAGAAGCUGGGAGAGAGGACUGAACAGAUCCUUCGCUUAGCCCUCAGAAGGAGUCAAUGCUGCUGACAUCUUGACACCGGACUUCUAGCCUCCAGAACUGUGAGACAAUACAUUUCUGUUCUUUAAGCUCCUGGUCUGUGGUACUCUGUUAUGGCAGCCCGAGCAAACUGAUACAGGCCGAGACUUUGUUCUGUUCAUCGCUGUAUCCCCAGUCUAGAAUAGGGCCAGCGUUUAGCAGGCAACACAAUUCAUGUUUCUUGAAGGAACGAACCUUGGUUGUGAUGUGCAGCGAGGAGGACCAGAUCCUGGGUGACCCUGCAAGUUGAAGAGCAGAGCUGCAGGAGCAGAGCAGAGUGUGCAAAGCUCAUGGGACUUGGGGGCAACUCAGAUCCCCCCUUGGGGGAGUGGGGAAGAGAGCUGUCCUCAUCUGAUCACCGUCUGUGUACAGAGUCCUAAAACACAUGUACAGGAGCCACACAAGACUUGCCGCCGAGAGUGUACAGUCUGUUGGAGGAGACAGAGCCCUAUUUGAGAAAACCCCUGGUCUGCUGGAGGAGGCCCUGGAUCUGGAAGGCAGUGCAUGCCCACAGCGCCCCCUGCUGGACGGCAUCAGAACCGGCUGAGUGCCAAGGCAUUUGUGCAGGCAGCCCCCGGGUUUCCUGCCAGGGAAAAGAGAUUCGGAAAUCAGGAAUGAAGGAGAGACAGGCCAGCUCCGGGGGAGAACCUGAGUCCCUGCUUUCCUGUGCACGUUUUUCAUGGUGUGAGAGACUAGGAGACCCUUACUGCCAUCCCAGCAGGAUGCGCACGCGCACACCCGCCCCACCCCAGCUUUUGCAGGAUGCACAAUGCGAGAAGAGGACAAAGCAGCAAGUUGGAAGUUUCUUAGAAAGGUGGAGGUAGUGCCCAGCUCAUGGAAGUCAGUGAGGUGCUAAAGGGACCUUGGGUCCCCCAGCAGCUUGGAGCUGUGGUGGGGAUCAGAGAAAGGGCUUGUCUGUCUUAGUGAAGGCCAUUACCUGGCUGAAAAUCACCAAUGGAGGCUGCUCGCGAACAGUAUUUCUGUUGACCCUUUAAUCUCAGCUUGUUGGCUCCUGGAAUUUUUUCUAUUAGAGGCUGUUAGCAUGUUGUGGUGAUGCUUUUGGCCUGUUGGGAAUUUCUGUUUUAGUCCCUGUUUUCCCUGACUGCUGCAAAGGGAUGAAUGAUUUUGAGGAAACAAGGCAGGCUGCUAGAGGAUUUCCAGAUGAACCUUGUGUUUGGUUUUGGGGUCAGUCUGUGUAGAUUCCAAGACGAAAUGGUGGCUGGUGACGAUUUUCAAAGAAAUAUAUUUCGUGGGACCACUAAUGGCUUCUGAGAAAAAUCUGAAACGGGGCAAACAGCUCUGCAGAGAUAUUGCAGCAGGUGCUCUCAGUGUCUGGCUGUAUCCCCUCAGCUCCAUUCAGCUCAGCACACAGGGGCUGAACACCUGCUGGCACCUGUCCUUUGCCAGUGGCUUUCUCUAGCUGCGGAAGUCAGCGUGGCUGGUGCACCUGUGGCCAGCCUCAAGUAAUGCCCUUGGGAGGGAGGGACCCUCAACCAGUGGCUGAAUGGAGCUGAUGCACAUACACUCCAUUCCUUCCCUGUGAGCUUCGAGAUGCAUCUACUCUUGUUCCUAGAGUUCCCCAGGGGGAUGAGGGUCCACACCCAUUGUAGUAACCAGGUUCGUAACAUCCCCUUUCUGCGUGUCCUUCCUGCAGCUAUUCAAUUCCUCACUCGCCUAGGGUGUUUCCUAGAAUCACGCAAAUACAUUAUUUGCACUGAAUCCUUAUCUCAGGCUCUGCUUCUGGGGGAACUACUGUGACCAGCUUGUCCCAAUUUUCUUGGGAUUGUCCCAGUUUUAAAACUCAAAGUCCCCUGUCCUGGGACUCCCUCCCCCACCAAGUUCCAGGCAAACUGGGGGACAGUUGGUCAUCUGAGAGAGACAGACGUAAGGCAGAUGUAAUCAUACUAAGUGAGGCAAGAGGAUCACUGAACCACUAUUUUGAGAGCCAAGCACUGGCUUCGAGAGCAAAAGAGCAGACACAAGUAUAAUUUCAUCAUAUCAUCAGGUUCAACAGUUUUUAUGAGCUAAAAGCCUUUAAGAGAACAGUAGCCACCAUUUACAAAGAAGCCAUUCCUUUGAGAACAGGCACACGCAUACAGCCCCAGGGUAUGCUUUGCUAAUUAUUGGUGAACAUUAGACGCUGGUGUCCAGGAUUCCACAAUGUCUACAUAACUGGCUACCAGGCAGAAAGGCGAUGUGUAUUCCAAGAACAAGAAGUGUCACAGGCACCAUGGGGACGUUACAGGUGAGCAGGCAAGGGGAUGGGGUAGCCCGUUGUAGGCACUUGAGGCUCUGAGGGGGACGAGCACCGGCCAUGCCACUUGAGCCAAAGCCAUCUGGGCAAAUAGUGAAACUAUGCCGCGGGUGUGCCCACAUUCGGCCACAGUGAGAUGAGGCGCUUUGCCUUGGAAAGCGGCUGUAAGCUCAAGGUCGCUGGCUCUGAGCCAAGGAGAUUUGCAGCAUGAACAGGAGAAAUCCCACUUUGUCAGGCUACCUGGGAGGCAGUGCUGUCGAAAGGCUGGGGGCCGGGUGAACACGUGGGUCAGGGAGCUCCACAGUGGGGACUGGAGGCCUGGCCAGGAGAUGCCGCCAAGCUCCUGACCUUGGGACGGAUCUCUGCGGAUCAGAUUAUCCAGCUGCAAAAUGCCGCCCGCGCCCCUGCCCUGUUUAUUUUUACACUGGCGCUGCAGAGCGUGCUACAGCUGAGGAAUGUGCCCAUUUUCGUUGUUUUCUCUAGUCCUUGCUAGAUUGGUGGGGAAUAAAGAUCUUCCAAAUGCCAUGGCAGUGAACACACAACCUAUUUCCUGGGGGUAGCAGAGCCCUUCUCUUUCCCUUCCCAGGGCACUAAGGAUGCAGAAUGCAUUUGUGUCUGGGCACCACCUAUAUUCCAAUAUGAAAGUAAUGAGAGGCAGCCUUUGGACGCUGCUACGGCAGGUGCUGCAGUGUCACACAGGUUCCAGCCAGGCAGGUGAAGGAGGUGACAAGUCCCUUGGGGUAGGCUGCACACAGAUCUCGGGAGACUUCUCCAAAUAGGAAACUUGAGAGGUCUUUUCUGACAGCUGUUCCACGUGAACAGCUGGAAGGGAAGAAGAGGAACCCUUGCUUUCUCAAAUGUCUGAGGAGCAGGUGAAAACCCACCAGCAGCUAGUCUUGGGACCAGCUACUCCAUUCAUCAGCCCUAGCAGUGGAGGAUAGUGGAUGGCAUUGGUUUGGUCCACAGGCAAGGGACAGGUUGAGAAAACAACAGUGCCGGCUGGAAACUUAUGCUGCUUAUUUCCACGUCCAGUGUAAGUCUGCCUACGUGUGGGGUCCAGUUUUCCUGGGAUCUGGAGUUGGUCUCCUCAGCUGAGGGGUCUGAGAGCGAGGGCUUUGCCUCUGGGUGUAGCCGCAGGUUGGACCCUUGAGGCAGGGACUCCCCCCGCCCCCGCCCUCCUUCCCUGGACACGGAGGCCCACAGCUACCUCCGCCCUGGCUGAAGUGGUCAGUUUUAUUCACACACCAAUGAGUGUCAGAAAGCUUAGGGCGGUCUUCAGUGCCAAUGGUGCCUGAGGCCACACCCACAGAGGGCAGGACCACAGGGUGGGGGUGUGGCCAGUGAAGACACACCCACCUGGGUGGCCAGGAAGUGAGGAAACAGUUCAUGGAGCAGACAUCCUUCAAAUGCUUCUCACCAAGCUCCAAAAAGCACAGGAACACCACCUAAUAUGUUCACUAUGCCACCCCAGUGUGCCUGGCAUACAGUAGGCUCUCAAUAAAGGAUUUUUGAAUGUCAGUGCCUGAAGAACCCAAAGGGAGAUCUAGACCAGCAUUUUCCCUACUGAAUAACUCGAGGAGAGAGACCUGAAUCACCCGUUGGAGACUGACAAUGCAUAUUUACAUAUUCAUGGGACUGAGUUGUCCUGACUUCAAGAAAUCUGUUUUCCUAGUGUUUUCCCAACAUAUUUGCCCGCCAGACAGUUUCUCAUGAAUUGCUAAUUCAUAUAUCAACCAAGAAAUAGUGCUGAAAAUGCUGAUCUAGUGUCACCUCAUCCUUCUACAAAAUAUGAAAUGGGGCCCAGAGAAAGCAAGCAACUUGCCAGAAGUCACACAGCAAAGUAGUGGCGGAGUUUAGACCAACAUGUAAAUUCCCCAGCUUUUAGCUCCACGUUCUUUCCACUAAAGGCUGGGCUCUUUUGGACAACGCCAUUAAGCAUUUGUACCCUCCUGAUUAUUCAGCCAGGCAGGGCAUCAAGGUCCUUCUGCAUGACCUAGAAAGCAAGGGCCAGGUUAACAAAGACUCCAGAUUAAUCCAAAUCCAUCCCGAUGUCUGGGGCAUCGGUUCACCUACUCAGGAACCCUUGGAACCACUUUAGCUUCAAUAUAUGUGCUAAUUACCUAAGGUUCUUCUCUCUUCCUUAAAGCAAGUCCCUUUCGUCCUCUGCUUGGCAAUCCUGGGGCAGAUUCCUGAGACCCAUGUCCUCUCAAUACCACUGGAGUUUUUAAACAAUGUCUCUUAUCCAGAUGUCCCCCAAAGCCCUUGGGUUAUCUGAAAUCAAGGAGCAUUUGUUCCUCUGCACCUUUGGGUGCGGAGCAGGGGAAUCAGGGAGUGCACAAGUCAGCAACUUGCUUGUGUAUCAGAGUCAUCCAGGGCUCCAGCAACUGCUACUGGGGCAGGGUCUGAGACAGGUCCCUGGAGAAGGGGGUGGUGUGCCCAUCGCUCUGCUGGGCUUCUCAGUUCCUCCUUCCAGGGGUCUUGCAGCACUGGUUUUACACUGGGAAGGUACUGGGCAGGUACUGGACCACCUGAGCUCCGGUCAGUGUCCACACUGAGCUUGGAGACCCAGAAGCAGGUUAAGCAGGAGGCUGGCCAGCUCAGUCCCACCUGGUUACCUUAAGGGGGAAAGAGGCCCAGAAAGCACAUGGGACUUGUUCAAGGUCACACAGACAGUCAAGCAAGUCCAUGGUCACUAAGAGGGAAACACCUCAGAGGCAGAGAAUCUGGGAAUAUCAAAGCAGGGGGAAGCCCGCAGCCAACCCGGCUCCAGGGCGCCCAGAGAGGGACAGCCACUUGCCCAAACCAGUGCCAGCCGUUUCAGCUCUCAGCCUGACAAUAUUUCCAUUCCUGGGGGGCCAAGAAGGGGAUGCCAUGCCCCUCCCUCCUUCCCCUGAAGCUGGGGCUGCUGGCUGCAUAGCUGCACAAGUGUUAUUUUGUGGGGGAGGACGCAUGCAGGGAGAUGACAAGGUCUGGAGCCAGAGCCUCGAGCCCUCAUCCCUCUGUGUGGGCGGCUGCCCGGCUGGCUUCCUCCCCAGGGCGGGGGU